CCCGGUGGUCAUAGCGGAGGGGAACCACCUGUUCCCAUCCCGAACACAGUAGUUAAGCCCUCCAGCGCCGAUGGUUGGGAGACCAGGAUUACCGAUGGUAUGACCUUAA
rnacentral:rRNA from 1 species